GACGAACGCUGGCGGCGUGCUUAACACAUGCAAGUCGAACGGACAGGCCCUGCUUUUGUGCGGUCCUGUGGGGGACACGGGGGAAGUAACCCUUGUCUACCGUACCCUCGCCUUUGGGUUAGCUUAAUAAAGUAGGGGCUAUUACGGGGAAGGAGUUCUCGCAGAAGGGUGGGGGUGGGAUGGUUUAGGUGGUUGGGGAGGGACUCGCGGCGUAUCCGCUUGUUGGUGGGGUAGUGGCUUACCAAGGUUUGGCCGGGUGGCCGGCCUGAUAGGGUGACCGGCCACAUUGGGACUGGAAUGCGGCCCAGCCUCCUACGGGAGGCAGCAGUGCAGAAUAGUGCCCAAUGGGCGGAAGCCUGAUGCAGCAACGCCGCGUGCGGUAUGACGUCCUGCGGUUUGUGAACCGCUUUCGCCUGUGACGAAGCGUGAGUGACGGUAACAGGUAAAGAAGCACCGGCUAACUACGUG
rnacentral:rRNA from 1 species